rnacentral:lncRNA from 1 species
UCAGCAGGCGCAAUAUAUAAAGACUUCGGAUGCAGAACAACCAAAUAUCUCCCGUUCUUUGAGAAAUGAUGAAAGCCCAGGUUAGCAACCAGACAUCCCUACGAGGGUGGGAGAUUGUCGCAACAAGCAACCUCUAUAAUUGCCUACGACUGCAGUGACGCCAGUAUGAGUAUCUAACAACAAAAUGCUUAAUUGAAUAAAAGCAAUUGAGGAUAAACCAAUGUAGAAGAUGAUGUGUCUUCGCAAGGUGGUAUAUUGCAAUGAUUUAUAGGUCUCGCAAAAGAAUGAAAGAUUCUCCCAAAGUCAGAAGAGAUAAUGUUAUGCUGCUAUGCCUUGUGCUUUCGCUCGCCACUGUCCUACAAAUUCAUUGCAAUCAAUUCCAUUUAGGAAACAUUGAAUUUCUUAUCAACUCCAAUAUGGCACACAGAAACAAGUCAACCAUCUCUUCCUUAGCAUUAACAACCUUUCGGCUGAAACUUGGACAAAAUCGAACCAGAAAGAUAUUGGAAAAAAUAACUGGGAAACAGAAAUGAUAACUGAUUGGAGGAAAGCUUUUCAUGAGCACUCAUGACCCAAUCUAAAUUAUAAAACCAAAUACUGCUGUUGCACGAGAAACAAUUUGAACAAUGUGGGCUGCUUUGAAAUCGCACUUCUCCGUUUUCAGAAAAAGUAAGUCAUAUUUUGCUUUAUUGCUGGGCAGUAAAAGGUAACAGAAUAACCCUUGAAAGGAACAAGGAGCUACAGGCUGCAUGGCUUUCAUUAAACAUAACAUAUAUCAAGUAAGUACAGCUGUACAGGUAACAGUUCAUGUAAAAAUAUAAAUAAUCUAAAAACCUAUAACCAAAUCAGAAUUGAAUUGAACAGGGGGAGGGGAGGGAAUGCGUUGCAGCACUCUUGCAGAGGGCACACCAGCGCGAUGGAGGUAGAGCGCGUAUAGCAUUUAAGGGAUCCAGGGCCGAGAACGUCGCUUGAACAGGUUGCAGGCUGUCGUCCUCGCCCACCGCCACCUGCACUCCUCCGCCUCCUCGCCUCCACCGUUGCCAAGCUCGUCGCCUCUCCAUGCACAUCUUCGUCGUCUUCCCAUCGUCCGCUAGGCGCUAGGGUUCUGCAGGAGGGGGAAGAAGCGAGCGGGCUCUGGUUAUGCAUCUCGCUGCAUGCGGCAGGAAAGAGAGAGGGGGGACGUCCAAGGGCGGAGGACCCGGUAGGGCAAGGCAGGGCGGCCUUGAUUUCUGCCUCAGUUACGAAUUGGGGAAGAUUAAGGAGAUGAAACGGGAAGCUAAAGGGCGGGAUCCGUUCGCGGGGUGAUGGGAGGAGAAACUGUUAGGAGCGAGAGUGUGAAACCCCGAGACUAAAUUUAUGCAAUUUAGUCCCAAAUGCUAACUCGCGCAUAAAUCAAGUCCCAGUGCCUCUCUACGAUGAAAACUUCACAACAUACACGCAAUGUGUUCACCGCAGGUUGGAACAACAAUGAUAUCAUUACAUCACUUCAAGACACAAAAAUUAAGUCAAGCUCAUACAUGGAGCAAAAUACCAGGUUAUUACAACUCACGAACACAUGUCCACAAUCAUCAUUACACCAGUGGAAGCAAAUUAUGCCCGAGUACGGACAAAUUACAAAUAUUGCCUAAGAGGCUGAAACUGAAAAGGAGAGCCGCCACAAGUUCUCAGAACCCUGCUCUGGAAUCUUCUGGCUAAACGUCGAAGCUGUAGUCGUCGAACUUCACGAAGUAACCACUCACCUGUUCCUCCGGAAACUCUGGGGAAAACAACGUUGCAAAGCAACUGAGUACAAAGUACUCGCAAGACUUACGAGAGAUCUAAACUAGAUAUGCAACAAGUCUCAAAGGAUGGGUAAAAGGUGGGUUAUGCAGCAGCGAUAUAUAUCUGGAGAGACACACUAAUGACAUCGUCUAGAUAGAAGAUAAGGAGCGUCUACCAAGUGAGGUGAUUAACCUAUUUACUAAACUCCAAACAACACAAUCCUUAUAUCACCCCCUCAACACCCUGUGAGGAAGCAAUCCAAAGGACACUCACACUUAAGCAGUUUAAGCAUAUCCAGAGAAUAAUCCCUAAUUACUAGUCAAGUGGUUGAGAUUAAGUUGAUUAAGUUCUCUAUGAUCAAAUAAUGACCAACCAAGUCGUCCAUGACCGCGGACACGGCUUUCCGAAAGAUUUAUCCCUGCAGGGUGUGCCAAUUUACCCGUACAUGUUCGUUCAACCCUUGACGCCACUAGCAUGGAACACAUGCAAAACAUGUGCCGGCAGGAUUGAGCGACACGACGUUUCCAAGCCCCACAACUAAUAGACAUGGCAUGGCAUGGCAUGGAUGCAAUGUAAUUGUCAUGUAGCAUUUAAAUAAAUUACAAACAGGUCCAAACAAGGGCUUAAAUGUAAAAGUUGCUCUCGGGCUGUUAUAGAGAGCGAGAGAAUCGAAGGGGAGAUAGAUACCUGCGGUGGCGGUGGCAGCGCUCGCGCGAGGAGGAAGACGAUCGACGGAGCGAUGGGGCUGGGGCGCUCGGCAGCGGGAUGGGGAGGGAUGAGUGGCGGUGCUCGCGCAAGGAGGAAGAGGAGCGAGGGGGCUGGGACGGGGGCGCUCGGCAGCGGGAUGGGGAGGGAUGAGUGGCGGCGCUCGUGCAAGGAGGAAGAGGAGCGAGGGAGCGAGGGGGCUGGGACGGGGGCGCUCGGCAGCGGGAUGGGGAGGGAGGGGUGGCAGCGCUCGCCCCAACCCCGUCGCUCCAUUGCCACUAGUCGCGAGC